AGAGUUUGAUCCUGGCUCAGGACGAACGCUUGGCGGCGUGCCUAACACAUGCAAGUCGAGCGGGGACAUGCGACGGAGAUGAAGAUUUCGGUUGGAUUCAAAGAUGUAUUGUUCUAGCGGCGGACGGGUGAGUAACGCGUGAGCAACCUGUCCCUUACAGGGGGAUAACACAGCGAAAGUUGUACUAAUACCGCAUAAGACCACAGAGUGACAUCAUUCAGGGGUCAAAGGAGUAAUCCGGUAAGGGGUGGGCUCGCGUCCGAUUAGAUAGUUGGUGAGGUAACGGCCCACCAAGUCGACGAUCGGUAGCCGACCUGAGAGGGUGAUCGGCCACAUUGGGACUGAGACACGGCCCAAACUCCUACGGGAGGCAGCAGUGGGGAAUAUUGGGCAAUGGGGGGAACCCUGACCCAGCAACGCCGCGUGAGGGAAGAAGGUUUUCGGAUCGUAAACCUCUGUCCUUGGUGAAGAGGAAGAGACGGUAGCCAAGGAGGAAGCCCCGGCUAACUACGUGCCAGCAGCCGCGGUAAUACGUAGGGGGCGAGCGUUGUCCGGAAUGAUUGGGCGUAAAGGGCGCGUAGGCGGCUCGUUAAGUCUGAAGUGAAAGUCCUGGUUUUAAGCUGGGAAUUGCUUUGGAUACUGACGGGCUUGAGUGCAGGAGAGGUAAGUGGAAUUCCCAGUGUAGCGGUGAAAUGCGUAGAGAUUGGGAGGAACACCAGUGGCGAAGGCGACUUACUGGACUGUAACUGACGCUGAGGCGCGAAAAGUGUGGGGGAGCAAACAGGAUUAGAUACCCUUGGUAGUCCCCCCCUUGUAAAACGAAUGAAUUGUUAGGUGUAGGGGGGUUUUCGACCCUUUCUGUGCCGGCAGUCAACACAAUAAGCAUUCCGCCUUGGGGGAGUACGGCCCCAAGGUUGAAACUCAAAAGGAAUUGACGGGGGCCCGCACAAGCAGCGGAGCAUGUGGUUUAAUUCGACGCAACGCGAAGAACCUUUACCAGGUCUUGACAUCCAGUAAAGCCUGCAGAGAUGCAGAGUGUCUUCGGACAUACUGAGACAGGUGGUGCAUGGUUGUCGUCAGCUCGUGUCGUGAGAUGUUGGGUUAAGUCCCGCAACGAGCGCAACCCUUAUUUUCAGUUACUAACGCGUAGAGGCGAGGACUCUGAAGAGACUGCCGGGGACAACUCGGAGGAAGGUGGGGACGACGUCAAAUCAUCAUGCCCCUUAUGACCUGGGCUACACACGUGCUACAAUGGCCACCACAGAGAGGAGCGAACCCGUAAGGGGGAGCGGAUCUCAAAAAAGUGGUCCCAGUUCGGAUUGUGGGCUGCAACCCGCCCACAUGAAGUCGGAGUUGCUAGUAAUCGCGGAUCAGCAUGCCGCGGUGAAUACGUUCCCGGGCCUUGUACACACCGCCCGUCACACCAUGGGAGUUGGGAGUGCCCAAAGUCGGUGAGGUAACCGCAAGGAGCCAGCCGCCUAAGGCAAGACCAAUGACUGGGGUGAAGUCGUAACAAGGUAGCCGUAUCGGAAGGUGCGGCUGGAUCACCUCCUUUCU
rnacentral:rRNA from 1 species